rnacentral:sRNA from 1 species
GGGCGCUAAAGGCGGCGGCGGCCUUGUGUUUAGACUCCAGAACUACCCACUUGCCGCGUUCUCGCCGCCGCAGGCUCCCGGGACGAUGGUGCCCCGCCUGCUGCUGCGCGCCUGGCCCUGGGGCCCCGCGGUUGGUCCGGGAGCCCCCAGUCGGCCCCUCAGCGCCGGCUCCGGGCCCGGCCAGUACCUGCAGCGCAGCAUCGUGCCCACCAUGCACUACCAGGACAGCCUGCCCAGGCUGCCUAUUCCCAAACUUGAAGACACCAUUAAGAGAUACCUCAGUGCACAGAAGCCUCUCUUGGAUGAUGGCCAGUUCAGGAAAACAGAACAAUUUUGCAAGAGUUUUGAAAAUGGGAUUGGAAAAGAACUGCACGAGCAGCUGGUUGCUCUGGACAAACAGAAUAAACAUACAAGCUACAUUUCGGGUAGGUAGGCUGGGCUGUGGGUAUGAUUUCUCCCAGAGCCCUCCAUAAUGAAAAGUAAGGCAUAUUCUCUCCUGUUUUGGUCUCAGAGAUAUUUUUGGUGAGACCAGCAAAUGAAGUAACGUCUCAUCCUCCCUUCCUGAGGUAAAUUAAGGCUGAGUGUGUUCCUCCUCUACUGAGGUGUUGACUUGAGCCCAUGCUCAAGAAUGAUGGCCAGCCUUCUCUGUAGAUGGGAUUGAGGCAGAACCUAAUCAAUGGUCCUGUCUGAAAAGGAUGCAGGAUUAAGUCCUAUGUCCUAUAUCAUUCUGGGUCCUUCACUGUCAGACAGAACUGUCCUCUCCAGCCUCUUC